rnacentral:rRNA from 1 species
AGAGUUUGAUCCUGGCUCAGAGCGAACGCUGGCGGCAGGCCUAACACAUGCAAGUCGAACGGACCCUUCGGGGUUAGUGGCGGACGGGUGAGUAACACGUGGGAACGUGCCUUUAGGUUCGGAAUAGCUCCUGGAAACGGGUGGUAAUGCCGAAUGUGCCCUUCGGGGGAAAGAUUUAUCGCCUUUAGAGCGGCCCGCGUCUGAUUAGCUAGUUGGUGGGGUAAUGGCCCACCAAGGCUACGAUCAGUAGCUGGUCUGAGAGGAUGACCAGCCACAUUGGGACUGAGACACGGCCCAAACUCCUACGGGAGGCAGCAGUGGGGAAUCUUGCGCAAUGGGCGAAAGCCUGACGCAGCCAUGCCGCGUGUAUGAUGAAGGUCUUAGGAUUGUAAAAUACUUUCACCGGUGAAGAUAAUGACUGUAGCCGGAGAAGAAGCCCCGGCUAACUUCGUGCCAGCAGCCGCGGUAAUACGAAGGGGGCUAGCGUUGCUCGGAAUUACUGGGCGUAAAGGGAGCGUAGGCGGACAUUUAAGUCAGAGGUGAAAUCCCGGAGCUUAACUUCGGAACUGCCUUUGAUACUGGGUGUCUUGAGUGUGAGAGAGGUAUGUGGAACUCCGAGUGUAGAG